GAUGAACGCUGGCGGCGUGCUUAACACAUGCAAGUCGAACGAUGAAGCCCAGCUUGCUGGGUGGAUUAGUGGCGAACGGGUGAGUAACACGUGAGUAACCUGCCCUUAACUCUGGGAUAAGCCUGGGAAACUGGGUCUAAUACCGGAUAGGAGCGCCUACCGCAUGGUGGGUGUUGGAAAGAUUUAUCGGUUUUGGAUGGACUCGCGGCCUAUCAGCUUGUUGGUGAGGUAAUGGCUCACCAAGGCGACGACGGGUAGCCGGCCUGAGAGGGUGACCGGCCACACUGGGACUGAGACACGGCCCAGACUCCUACGGGAGGCAGCAGUGGGGAAUAUUGCACAAUGAGCGAAAGCCUGAUGCAGCGACGCCGCGUGAGGGAUGACGGCCUUCGGGUUGUAAACCUCUUUCAGUAGGGAAGAAGCGAAAGUGACGGUACCUGCAGAAGAAGCACCGGCUAACUACGUG
rnacentral:rRNA from 1 species